rnacentral:rRNA from 1 species
GACGAACGCUGGCGGCGUGCCUAACACAUGCAAGUCGAGCGAGAAAUUUUUAACGGAUUCCUUCGGGGAGAAGAUAAGGAUGGAAAGCGGCGGACGGGUGAGUAACGCGUGAGUAACCUGCCUUUAGGAGGGGGACAACAUUCCGAAAGGGAUGCUAAUACCGCAUAAAAUUAUUGUAUCGCAUGGUAUGAUAAUCAAAGAUUUAUCGCCUAAAGAUGGACUCGCGUCCGAUUAGCUAGUUGGUGGGGUAAAAGCCUACCAAGGCGACGAUCGGUAGCCGAACUGAGAGGUUGAUCGGCCACAUUGGGACUGAGACACGGCCCAGACUCCUACGGGAGGCAGCAGUGGGGGAUAUUGCGCAAUGGGGGAAACCCUGACGCAGCAACGCCGCGUGAGGGAAAAAGGCCUUCGGGUUGUAAACUUCUUUAAGUGUGGAAGAUAAUGACGG